AUUGAACGCUGGCGGCAGGCCUAACACAUGCAAGUCGAGCGAGCGGCGGACGGGGGAGUAAUGUAUGGGGACUGCCCGAUAGAGGGGGAUAACUACUGGAGACGGUAGCUAAUACCGAAUACAAUCGGAAAACCCAUAUGGGAUUAGCUAGUAGGGGAGGUAAUGGCUCACCUAGGCGACGAUACCUAGCUGGUCGGAGAGGAUGAUCAGACACUUGGGUACGGAGACACGGCCAAGACUCCUACGGUGUCAGCAGUGGGUAAUAUUGCACAAGGGGCGCAGUCCUGAUGCAGCAAUGCCGCGGGUAUCAGGCAGGCCCUAGGGUUGUAAAGUACUUUCAGUCGGGAGGCGUUACCGACAGAAGAAGCACCGGCUAACUACGUGCCAGCAGCCGCGGUAAUUC
rnacentral:rRNA from 1 species